GUUCGCUGCCGCAUAGGCAGCUCAGAAA
rfam:Delftia acidovorans SPH-1, complete genome.